UGUUUAGAUCAAGAUUAAUCAACUAUCCUUAUCUGCAAUCCAUGACCAUUUCUAUUAUCCAACCAUAAAAAGAGGAGAAACUAAAAAGAAAAAUAAUAAAAAAGGCCUCCUUUUCUUCUGCAGAAAAAAAGAAAACUUUUCAUCUUCUCAAGGAGGCGACACAUACCCUCUUCUUCACUGACCUCACAAACUUCCGCCAUUUCCUCUUCGCCUCGAUCUCCAUCUCACCGCGGACAACCACCUUGUUCUUCAUCCAAAACAACCCACCGUACUGGUCGUCCUCCGUCGUGUAUCUUUCUCUUCUGAUCCACACCCUCUUUCAACCUUUGAAUAAUGCCGUGAAACCUUAACACUUCCUCCAUUACCGGCGAAAUCCUCGAAUACUCUCCACUUCAACCCACCUCGCAACAACCAUCACCAACAUCCGCCGGAAAUCUCCACACAACGACCCUCCAUUUCAACUUCCGACGACCUCUCCAACAUCCGCCGACAACCUCCGCCAUCUCAACCGCCGGCAACGCUCCAACCACUUCCGGCGACGUCCACUCUAAGCGGCGCAAUCCCGAUCUAUAUUUACGUAAAUGUUAAUAUAUUGGUGGAACAAAUUUUUCCAGGGAUUGCGUUACAGCUUUUCCUUAUUCUUUUUACUCCUAUUUUGGAUGAUCUGCCAUGUGUCCUAAGUUAAUUCCCAUGUGUAGCUGGAUAAAACAUAAUAAUGGAUGGUAGAAGUUUAAUAAUAAUGCUGAAGUAGUGCCAUUUUUUCUCGCCGAUUUUGCCGCAAGAUCAUUAGGCUAGGUAUGCUUCUCCGUUCAAAUUGAGAUUUGCUGUAUAAAUCCUAAUGUGUUGUUCAAAUUCACUUUAAAUUAUUCUUA